rnacentral:rRNA from 1 species
UACGUAGGGUGCGAGCGUUAAUCGGAAUUACUGGGCGUAAAGCGUGCGCAGGCGGUCCGCUAAGACCGAUGUGAAAUCCCCCGGCUUAACCUGGGAACUGCGUCUGAUACUGGGAGGCUUGAGUAUGGGAGAGGGAUGUAGAAUUCCAGGUGUAGCGGUGAAAUGCGUAGAUAUCUGGAGGAAUACCGGUGGCGAAGGCGGCAUCCUGGACCAUAACUGACGCUCAUGCACGAAAGCGUGGGGAGCAAACAGG